GGGGAUAUAGCUCAACUGGCAAAGUGCUUGCCUUACAUGCAUGAGGCCCUGGGUUCAAUCCCCAGUACCACA
rnacentral:tRNA from 1 species